GCAAGUCGAGCGGAUUGAUGGGAGCUUGCUCCCAUCAGUCAGCGGCGGACGGGUGAGUAACACGUGGGUAACCUGCCUGUAAGACUGGGAUAACUCCGGGAAACCGGGGCUAAUACCGGAUAACUCAUUUCCUCGCAUGAGGAAAUGUUGAAAGGUGGCUUUUAGCUAUCACUUACAGAUGGACCCGCGGCGCAUUAGCUAGUUGGUGAGGUAACGGCUCACCAAGGCGACGAUGCGUAGCCGACCUGAGAGGGUGAUCGGCCACACUGGGACUGAGACACGGCCCAGACUCCUACGGGAGGCAGCAGUAGGGAAUCUUCCGCAAUGGACGAAAGUCUGACGGAGCAACGCCGCGUGAGUGAUGAAGGUUUUCGGAUCGUAAAACUCUGUUGUUAGGGAAGAACAAGUACCGUUCGAAUAGGGCGGUACCUUGACGGUACCUAACCAGAAAGCCACGGCUAACUACGUGCCAGCAGCCGCGGUAAUACGUAGGUGGCAAGCGUUGUCCGGAAUUAUUGGGCGUAAAGCGCGCGCAGGUGGUUUCUUAAGUCUGAUGUGAAAGCCCACGGCUCAACCGUGGAGGGUCAUUGGAAA
rnacentral:rRNA from 1 species